GCAAGCGAAUGAAGGGCGCAUGGGGGAUACCUAGGCUCUCAGAGGCGAUGAAGGACGUGAUAAGCUGCGAAAAGCCACGGGGAUCAGCACAUAUGAAUUGAUCCGUGGAUAUCCGAAUGGGGCAACCCAGUACCAUGAAGUGGUAUUACCCUACGGGGGGCAAACGCGGGGAACUGAAACAUCUAAGUACCCGCAGGAGAAGAAAAUAACAAUGAUUGCGCAAGUAGUGGCGAGCGAACGCGCAGGAGCCCAAACCAGCCUGGUUACGGCCAGACUGGGGUUGUAGGACUCACCAAGUGGGCAUUAAUUGAACUGGAAUGGCGUGGGAAAGCCAAUCGUAGAGGGUGAGAAUCCCGUACAGGUAAGAGCGUUAUAUGAGUGAGUAUCCUGAGUAAGUGGGGACCGGAGAAAUCCCCUCUGAAUCCGGCGGCACCAUCCGCCAAGGCUAAAUACUCCUGAGAGACCGAUAGUGAACGAGUACCGUGAGGGAAAGGUGAAAAGUACCGCGAGCAGCGGGGUGAAAUAGAACUUGAAACCAUGCGCUUACAAGCGGACGGAGCCUACGGGUGACGUCGUGCCUUUUGCAUAAUGAGCCUACGAGUUACGGUUACUGGCAAGGUUAAUGUUUUCAAGAACAGGAGCCGAAGCGAAAGCGAGUCUGAAAUGGGCGAUUAGUCAGUGGCUGUAGACGCGAAACUUGGUGAUCUACCCUUGGUCAGGUUGAAGCGCUGGUAACACAUCGUGGAGGACCGAACCGGUAAACGUUGAAAAGUUUUCGGAUGAACUGAGGGUAGGGGUGAAAGGCCAAUCAAACUGAGAAAUAGCUCGUACUCCCCGAAAUGUUUUUAGGAACAGCGUCGUGGUCGAGUCAUGUUCAGGUAGAGCUACUGAUAGGACUAGGGGGAGUCAAAUCCUACCAAAUUCUGACAAACUCCGAAUGGGGCAUGAUAUACACGGCAGUGAGGGCUGGGGUGCUAAGGUCCCAGUCCGAGAGGGGAACAACCCAGAGCAUCAGCUAAGGUCCCAAAAUAUAUGCUAAGUUGAACUAAGGGGGUCCGACUGCAGAGACAGCCAGGAUGUUAGCUUGGAAGCAGCUAUACAUUUAAAGAGUGCGUAACAGCUCACUGGUCGAGCGGGGCGGGCAUCGAUAAUAAACGGGCAUCAAGCAUAUUACCGAAGCUAUGCGAUAGUAAUUUAUUACGAUCGGUAGGGGAGCAUUCUCACAGGGGUGAAGCUGUGGCGUAAGCCGCGGUGGACUGGUGAGAAAAGCAAAUGUAGGCAUAAGUAACGAUAAUGCGGAUGAGAAAUCCGCACACCGAAAGACUAAGGAUUCCUCCGCUAUGCUAAUCAACGGAGGGUUAGGCGGGGCCUAAGGGAUAGCCGACAGGCGAUUUUCGAUGGACAGCAGGUUAAUAUUCCUGCCCCUGGCUGCAGUGUGAAGAAGUGACGGAGUAUUGUGGUAAGUACGUACUGACGGAAUAGUGCGUUGAGCAGAGCCUACGGGCGAAGCGAACUUACGAAAACGCUUCCAAGAAAAGCUUUUGAAACAUCAGCUGUAUGCAGCCCGUACCGUAAACCGACACAGGUAGUCGAGAAGAAUAUUCUAAGGUGCUCGAGUGAAUCACGGCUAAGGAACUCGGCAAAUUAACCCUGUAACUUCGGGAGAAGGGGAGCCUCCUCUG
rnacentral:rRNA from 1 species